rnacentral:rRNA from 1 species
CACGUAGGGUGCGAGCGUUGUCCGGAAUUAUUGGGCGUAAAGAGCUUGUAGGCGGUUUGUCGCGUCUGCUGUGAAAUCUCAAGGCUCAACCUUGAGCUUGCAGUGGGUACGGGCAGACUAGAGUGUGGUAGGGGAGACUGGAAUUCCUGGUGUAGCGGUGAAAUGCGCAGAUAUCAGGAGGAACACCGAUGGCGAAGGCAGGUCUCUGGGCCACUACUGACGCUGAGAAGCGAAAGCAUGGGGAGCGAACAGG